GAUGAACGCUGGCGGCGUGCCUAAUACAUGCAAGUCGAGCGAACAGACGAGGAGCUUGCUCCUCUGACGUUAGCGGCGGACGGGUGAGUAACACGUGGAUAACCUACCUAUAAGACUGGGAUAACUUCGGGAAACCGGAGCUAAUACCGGAUAAUAUAUUGAACCGCAUGGUUCAAUAGUGAAAGACGGUUUUGCUGUCACUUAUAGAUGGAUCCGCGCCGCAUUAGCUAGUUGGUAAGGUAACGGCUUACCAAGGCAACGAUGCGUAGCCGACCUGAGAGGGUGAUCGGCCACACUGAAACUGAGACACGGUCCAGACUCCUACGGGAGGCAGCAGUAGGGAAGCGUCCGCAAUGGGCGAAAGCCUGACGGAGCAACGCCGCGUGAGUGAUGAAGGUCUUCGGAUCGUAAAACUCUGUUAUUAGGAAGAACAAAUGUGUAAGUAACUAUGCACGUCUUGACGGUACCUAAUCAGAAAGCCACGGCUAACUACGUG
rnacentral:rRNA from 1 species